rnacentral:rRNA from 1 species
GACGAACGCUGGCGGCGUGCCUAAUACAUGCAAGUAGAACGCUGAAGGAGGAGCUUGCUUCUCUGGAUGAGUUGCGAACGGGUGAGUAACGCGUAGGUAACCUGCCUGGUAGCGGGGGAUAACUAUUGGAAACGAUAGCUAAUACCGCAUAAUAGUAGAUGUUGCAUGACAUUUGCUUAAAAGGUGCAAUUGCAUCACUACCAGAUGGACCUGCGUUGUAUUAGCUAGUUGGUGAGGUAACGGCUCACCAAGGCAACGAUACAUAGCCGACCGGAGAGGGUAAUAGGCCAAACUGGGACUGGGACACGGCCCAGACUCCUACGGGAGGCAGCAGUAGGGAAUCUUCGGCAAUGGACGGAAGGCUGACCGAGGAACGCCGCGUGAGUGAAGAAGGUUUUCGGGUCGUAAAGCUCUGUUGUAAGAGAAGAACGAGUGUGAGAGUGGAAAGUUCACACUGUGACGGUAUCUUACCAGAAAGAGACGGCUAACUACGUG